GAAGGGUUUCGGCUCGUAAAGCUCUGUUGUUAAAGAAGAACGUGGGUGAGAGUAACUGUUCACCCAGUGACGGUAUUUAACCAGAAAGCCACGGCUAACUACGUGCCAGCAGCCGCGGUAAUACGUAGGUGGCAAGCGUUAUCCGGAUUUAUUGGGCGUAAAGCGAGCGCAGGCGGUCUUUUAAGUCUAAUGUGAAAGCCUUCGGCUCAACCGAAGAAGUGCAUUGGAAACUGGGAGACUUGAGUGCAGAAGAGGACAGUGGAACUCCAUGUGUAGCGGUGAAAUGCGUAGAUAUAUGGAAGAACACCAGUGGCGAAGGCGGCUGUCUGGUCUGUAACUGACGCUGAGGCUCGAAAGCAUGGGUAGCGAACAGGAUUAGAUACCCUGGUAGUCCAUGCCGUAAACGAUGAUUACUAAGUGUUGGAGGGUUUCCGCCCUUCAGUGCUGCAGCUAACGCAUUAAGUAAUCCGCCUGGGGAGUACGACCGCAAGGUUGAAACUCAAAAGAAUUGACGGGGGCCCGCACAAGCGGUGGAGCAUGUGGUUUAAUUCGAAGCUACGCGAAGAACCUUACCAGGUCUUGACAUCUUCUGCCAACCUAAGAGAUUAGGCGUUCCCUUCGGGGACAGAAUGACAGGUGGUGCAUGGUUGUCGUCAGCUCGUGUCGUGAGAUGUUGGGUUAAGUCCCGCAACGAGCGCAACCCUUAUUACUAGUUGCCAGCAUUCAGUUGGGCACUCUAGUGAGACUGCCGGUGACAAACCGGAGGAAGGUGGGGACGACGUCAAAUCAUCAUGCCCCUUAUGACCUGGGCUACACACGUGCUACAAUGGAUGGUACAACGAGUCGCGAAACCGCGAGGUUUAGCUAAUCUCUUAAAACCAUUCUCAGUUCGGACUGUAGGCUGCAACUCGCCUACACGAAGUCGGAAUCGCUAGUAAUCGCGGAUCAGCAUGCCGCGGUGAAUACGUUCCCGGGCCUUGUACACACCGCCCGUCACACCAUGAGAGUUUGUAACACCCAAAGCCGGUGGGGUAACCUU
rnacentral:rRNA from 1 species